rnacentral:rRNA from 1 species
UUAAGCAACUGCUAUGCAUUUUCUACCCCAACUGCGUAUUUUUCCUGUUGCUUCCGUACUGCGUGGACUUUGUUCCCCUCUUACUGUAUCUUAAGUAUGGUUCAGAGUGUCGGUACGGCAGAUAUUCGUCAAACACCUUGCAUUUCAUGUCAUUGAGUCUGAACUGUUAAUAGCAAAAAGUUAAAACUUUCAACAACGGAUCUCUUGGUUCUCGCAUCGAUGAAGAACGCAGCGAAAUGCGAUAAGUAGUGUGAAUUGCAGAAUUCAGUGAAUCAUCGAAUCUUUGAACGCACAUUGCGCCUUCUUGUAUUCAGGGAGGCAUGCCUGUCCGAGUGUCAUUAAAAAUCACUCAAGCUCUUUUGCUUGGUCUUGGAAAGAAGAGUCCGCUGGUUUGUCUCUCUUCCGAAAUGUAAUGGCGGAAGCCCUCAUGCACCUGGCGUUGUAAUUACUAUUCGCCUUGGGUCUUGAAACAUUCCUGUCUACCCACCCAAUUUUUUCUAGUUUGACCUC